rnacentral:ncRNA from 1 species
GGAUGAGAGAAGAAAGCCGCUCGCAGGGGACUGCGGGCGGAUCCAGGUCGGGACCUCCCCAGUUCCGCCCUGGCCGUGCCCUCGCGCACCGCGCCGGCGCCUCUGGCUCCGGUACUCCUCACCGAUCGGA